UUUAUCCUUUUCUAAACAAAACUUUUUUUGAUGAAUUUGAAUUUAAAUCAAACAAUAUUUUCUGUUAUAUUAUAAUGAAAGUCAAUUUUAUCUGUAUUUUAUGUACGAUAAAAUUGGUAUGUUCGAAAUUCACUGCAUGUAUAUGUCGUUGUUAUCUUCUGAAUUUGAAAACAAGAAGCUCACAAUUUUUUGUCACAAUAUGUAUCGUACUUUUUUACAUAAAGGCGAGACAUAUUUCUGUGGCAACAGGUUUUAUUAAUCUCUUUGUAAAAACUUUAUGGUGAAAUAUUUGAAUUUAAAACGAUAAAUAUUUUACUGUUAUAUUCCAACGUGUUUAACGAAAGUCAAUAUUAUCUAUUGUAUUGUGUAAUUUUAUGUACGACGAAACUCACUGCAUGUUGAUCUUACGUGAACCAAUACACAUGGUUUACGCUUCCAUUUAUUGAUAAGAUUGUAUGUUGAUGUUUAAUAUAAUCUUUGUGUGAUAAUUAUACUCAAACUCUUCCAAAACACUUUCUACAUCUAUGUCUCAAACAUCUCAGUACACCAAUUAUCUUUCUGUAUCUCCUGUGCAGAAGCUAAAUGAAAACCCUCAAACAAAAUAAUCUAUUUGCUUUAGAGAUGAACACGUGCAAAAUGCAAAAUUUGAAGUCAAAAUUUUGGAACACUAAACGUGCGCAUAACAGAGCAUUCAUUUUACAUACAAACUAAAACGUUUUAAUUAUACAGGUAAUUAGUUCGUAAUAGUUUAUUUGGUAAAACAAAUAACAUUUCUUAAUAGUAAAAUGACAAGUCGUGUCCACAGUAGCGCAUAUGUUGUGAAGGCCUACAUGUAUUCAUUUUUUUGAAAAACAGUAUAAUAAAAAGAAUAAUAUGUAGGUUUAUUCCGCGACAAUGAUGAUCAUGUUUAUGUUGUAUCUUACAGUUGGUUACAAAUUCAAGGACAAGGAAACUAUUUCGACUGUGAAAACUGUGAAUGUCAAAGGUGGUUUUCGUGCAUGGAAGAGAAGUAACAGAACACUUACUGUACAAAGCAAAAAUACCAUUGUAGAGAUAUUAAUUCAAUAAAUUAUCUAUUUUGACUAUAAAUAAAUGCUGAUCAUAUAGACCUCAUUUAAAUUAUUUUUAGUAUAGUUUUGUAUAAUGCAUUAAAUUGGACUUUAGCAGUCUCGAUCGGUUAUACAUUCUUUCUUUUAAAAUCAUGUAAAAAAUGUAAUAGUUAAUUUGAACUUAUAAAUAAUACAAAUCUACUGAAUUAAACAAAUAUAGAGAGUGUGGAUGUUUAUUAAAGUAUA